rnacentral:lncRNA from 1 species
UCCCUAUAUUGAGUUCUGAUAUCCAAUUACAAAUAUUAACUCCAUUUUGAUAAUAAUUCAAUCAAGAAGUUACAAAGUUGUAUUCACUUCGAAGCCUACUUCUAUUUUUUUAAAUAAUUUAUAACAUCGUAACAUUUGUAAGCAAAUAUGAUGAACAAAAUAGAGGUAGGCCUUCUGAAAAAAGUUUAGCAGGUUCCUCCGAAACAAAGAAUGGAAUUUUUGAAGAACUUGAGGAGAAAGCGGGAUACUUUUGGUAUUGAAUUAAAAUUUUUGUUAACAUCUGCUGCCGGAUACAUGAUUUGGAAGGGAAAGAACAUGAACUACUGCUAAACAGAGGAGAUCCUUCUAUUUUAAAAUAGAUUAGCGCAGGAAAAAUAUCAUAAUUGUAUUUGUAUACAGGAUGAGGACUCAAAAAUUAGAAUCCCCUUCGAGACUGUUCAGUCUCAGUUCUAAAAGUUUGCCAAUUUUGUUCAUAGGAACAUUCGAAAGAGCUGACAAAAAGCUACAAUCUGAUGUUUUUUUUUGUUUUUGUACAAUCAAAAAUGUUGGAGCAACAAGCAAAAUGGCAGAGGAUGUUUGAUCUCCUCCGCUCACGAGUCGAUCUCCGACAAAAAGAUCUUCACAGUGGACGCUGUUCUGAAAAGGAAAAAUGAUCGCUUCUUGGCAAAAUCGAGAGCUCAGGUUGAAAGAACCUUCAGGACCAAAUAUCCAGCUCAGAUUUUGGUCCUCGGCGUCGAGGCGUCCGACAGCAGCAAGAUACUUCCCUACUUCUUCAAG